AUACGGAGGGCGCAAACGUUGUUCGGAAUCACUGGGCAUAAAGAGCACGUAGGCUGUCCGCUCAGUCGGAUGUGAAAUCCCCCGGCUCAACCGAGGAAUUGCAUCCGAUACUGGCGGGCUAGAGGACGGUAGGGGUAAGUGGAACUCCAGGUGGAACGGUGAAAUGUGUAGAUAUCUGGAGGAACACCGGUGGCGAAAGCGGCUUACUGGACCGUCUCUGACGCUGAGGUGCGAAAGCUAGGGUAGCGAACGGGAUUAGAAACCCCGGUAGUCC
rnacentral:rRNA from 1 species